rnacentral:rRNA from 1 species
UAAGGAAUAUUGGACAAUGGGCGCAAGCCUGAUCCAGCCAUGCCGCGUGAAGGAUUAAGGUCUUCUGGAUUGUAAACUUCUUUUAUAAGGGACGAAAAAAGGGAAUUCUUUCUCACUUGCCGGUAUCUUUCGAAUAAGCACCGGCUAACUCCGUGCCAGCAGCCGCGGUAAUACGGAGGGUGCAAGCGUUAUCCGGAUUCACUGGGUUUAAAGGGUGCGUAGGCGGGUAUUUAAGUCAGUGGUGAAAUCCUAGAGCUUAACUCUAGAACUGCCAGUGAUACUAUUUAUCUUGAAUAUUGUGGAGGUGAGCGGAAUAUGUCAUGUAGCGGUGAAAUGCUUAGAUAUGACAUAGAACACCUAUUGCGAAGGCAGCUUACUCCGCAUAUAUUGACGCUGAGGCACGAAAGCGUGGGGAUCAAACAGG